rnacentral:rRNA from 1 species
GACGAACGCUGGCGGCGUGCUUAACACAUGCAAGUCGAACGGAAAGGCCCUGCUCUUGUUGGGUGCUCGAGUGGCGAACGGGUGAGUAACACGUGAGUAACCUGCCCUUGACUUUGGGAGGACUUCAGGAAACUGGGGCUCAUACCGGAUAGGAUCUCCUGCUGCAUGGGGGGGGUUGGAAAGUUUCGGCGGUUGGGGCUCUACUCGCGGGUUAUCAGCUUGUUUGUGGAGUAGUGGUGUACCAAGGCUUUGACGGGUAGCCUGCAUGAGAGGGUGGACGGGGACCAUGGGACUGCGGUACGGACCAGAAUGCUACGGGAGGCAGCAGUGGGGAAUAUUGCAGAGCAGGCGGAAGCCUGAUGUAGAGAUGCCGCGUGCGGGAAGCCGGGCUUCUGGUUGUAAACCGCUGUCGAAGGAGACGUGGCGUGAGUGACGGUAAUGGGUAAAAAAGCACCGGCUAACUACGUG